rnacentral:rRNA from 1 species
AGAGUUUGAUCCUGGCUCAGGACGAACGCUGGCGGCGUGCUUAACACAUGCAAGUCGAGCGGUAAGGCCCUUCGGGGUACACGAGCGGCGAACGGGUGAGUAACACGUGAGCAACCUGCCCCUGACUCCGGGAUAAGCGGUGGAAACGCCGUCUAAUACCGGAUACGACUCUCCGGCUCAUGCUGGAGGGUGGAAAGUUUUUUCGGUUGGGGAUGGGCUCGCGGCCUAUCAGCUUGUUGGUGGGGUAAAGGCCUACCAAGGCGAUUACGGGUAGCCGGCCUGAGAGGGUGACCGGCCACACUGGGACUGAGACACGGCCCAGACUCCUGCGGGAGGCAGCAGUGGGGAAUCUUGCGCAAUGGGCGAAAGCCUGACGCAGCGACGCCGCGUGGGGGAUGACGGCCUUCGGGUUGUAAACUCCUUUUACCACUCACGCAGGCUCCCAGUUUUCUGGGGGUUGACGGUAAGUGGGGAAUAAGGACCGGCUAACUACGUG